rnacentral:rRNA from 1 species
AUUCCAGCUCCAAUAGCGUAUAUUUAAGUUGUUGCAGUUAAAAAGCUCGUAGUUGGAUCUUGGGUCGUAAGGGUCGGUCCGCCUACUCGGUGUGCACCUGCCCUUCCGUCCCUUUUGUCGGCGGCGUGCUCCUGGCCUUAAUUGGUUGGGUCGCGGUUCCGGCGCUGUUACUUUGAAAAAAUUAGAGUGCUCAAAGCAAGCUUAUGCUCUGAAUACAUUAGCAUGGAAUAACGUGAUAGGAGUCUGGUCCUAUUGUGUUGGCCUUCGGGACCGGAGUAAUGAUUAAUAGGGACUGUCGGGGGCAUUCGUAUUUCAUUGUCAGAGGUGAAAUUCUUGGAUUUAUGAAAGACGGACCACUGCGAAAGCAUUUGCCAAGGAUGUUUUCAUCA